rnacentral:rRNA from 1 species
ACCUACGGGGCGCAGCAGUGAGGAAUAUUGGUCAAUGGGCGGAAGCCUGAACCAGCCAAGUCGCGUGAGGGAAUAAGGCCCUACGGGUCGUAAACCUCUUUUGCCGGGGAGCAAGGGCCGGGACGCGCCCCGGCCCGAAGAGUACCCGGAGAAAAAGCAUCGGCUAACUCCGUGCCAGCAGCCGCGGUAAUACGGAGGAUGCGAGCGUUAUCCGGAUUUAUUGGGUUUAAAGGGUGCGUAGGCGGCUUGAUAAGUUAGAGGUGAAAUGUCGGGGCUCAACCCCGAAACUGCCUCUACUACUGUUG